GGAAUUUUCCGCAAUGGGCGAAAGCCUGACGGAGCAAUACCGCGUGGAGGAUGAAAGCCCGUGGGUCGUAAACUCCUUUUCUCAGAGAAGACAAAAGGACGGUAUCUGAGGAAUAAGCUCCGGCUAACUCUGUGCCAGCAGCCGCGGUAAUACAGGGGGAGCAAGCGUUAACCGGAAUGAUUGGGCGUAAAGCGUCUGUAGGUGGCUUUUUAAGUCUACUGUCAAAACCCAGAGCUUAACUUUGGACCGGCAGUGGAAACUGAGGAGCUUGAGUGCGGUAGAGGCAGAGGGAAUUCCUAGUGGAGCAGUGAAAUGCGUAGAGAUUAGGAAGAACACCCGUGGCGAAGGCGCUCUGCUGGGCCGCAACUGACACUGAGAGACGAAAGCUAGGGGAGCAAAUGGGAUUAGAUACCCCAGUAGUC
rnacentral:rRNA from 1 species